rnacentral:rRNA from 1 species
UGGGGAAUUUUGGACAAUGGGCGCAAGCCUGAUCCAGCAAUGCCGCGUGCAGGAUGAAGGCCUUCGGGUUGUAAACUGCUUUUGUACGGAACGAAAAGCUUCUGGUUAAUACCUGGGAGUCAUGACGGUACCGUAAGAAUAAGCACCGGCUAACUACGUGCCAGCAGCCGCGGUAAUACGUAGGGUGCGAGCGUUAAUCGGAAUUACGGGGCGUAAAGCGUGCGCAGGCGGUUAUGUAAGACAGAGGGGCAAUCCCCGGGCUCAACCUGGGAACUGCCUUUGUGACUGCAUGGCUAGAGUGCGGCAGAGGGGGAUGGAAUUCCGCGUGUAGCAGUGAAAUGCGUAGAUAUGCGGAGGAACACCGAUGGCGAAGGCAAUCCCCUGGGCGUGCAGUGACGCUCAUGCACGAAGGCGUGGGGAGCAAACA